AACGACUCUGGUGAUUAAGAAAUACUAAUUAUAAAAAUAAAAAACAUCAUUACAAUUUGUAGAUGCAUAUUUUGAAAUCAGUUAUUCUUAUUUCAUGGCUACUGUAUCUAUUGAUCUCAAAACUCGUUUUUCCCGAGUAUUAUCUGAUAGGUGUGUAUCUAAAGAAAGAGGGUAUAUAUAUAUAUAUAUAUAUAUAUAUAUAUAUAUAUAUAUAUAGAAAUACUCUAUUUUUUUUCUUCUAGUUAUUUGUUCGAUUCCAAUUUCAAUGGCUCUUCUCCAUUGUUCCUCCCCUUCGCCUCCCUCAAUAAUCUCAUUCAAUAAUUCCACAUCCAAUUCCCUCUUAUACCUUCGCCCUACCAAUUGCUGUUUUACCCGAACUCUUCCAUCUGUCAGGUUAAACGCCAGCCUCGCCGUCGAAUCGCCGGCGAUUUCCGGCUCCAACAGCGGUGGAGACUCACCCAAGCUUCUGUUAGAGGUCAAAGACCUUANNNNNNNNNNNNNNNN
rnacentral:lncRNA from 1 species